rnacentral:rRNA from 1 species
UGGUGGAGUGAUUUGUCUGGUUAAUCCCGUUAACGAACGAGACCUCAGCCUGCUAAAUAGUUACGCUUACGCUAUGUAGGCGGCCAACUUCUUAGAGGGACUGUUGGCGUCUAGCCAACGGAAGUUUGAGGCAAUAACA